GCCUAGCAUGCGAGUGCGAAGAAGCCUUCGGGGUUAGUGGCGGACGGGUGAGUAACACGUGGGAACGUGCCCUUUGGUACGGAAUAACUCAGGGAAACUUGAGCUAAUACCGUAUGUGCCCUUCGGGGGAAAGAUUUAUCGCCAUUGGAGCGGCCCGCGUCUGAUUAGCUAGUUGGUGAGGUAAUGGCUCACCAAGGCGACGAUCAGUAGCUGGUCUGAGAGGAUGACCAGCCACAUUGGGACUGAGACACGGCCCAAACUCCUACGGGAGGCAGCAGUGGGGAAUCUUGCGCAAUGGGCGAAAGCCUGACGCAGCCAUGCCGCGUGGAUGAUGAAGGUCUUAGGAUUGUAAAAUCCUUUCACCGGGGACGAUAAUGACGGUACCCGGAGAAGAAGCCCCGGCUAACUUCGUGCCAUCAGCCGCGGUAAUACCAAGGGGGCUAGCGUUGCUCGGAAUUACUGGGCGUAAAGGGCGCGUACGCGGACAUUUAAGUCGGGGGUGAAAUCCCAGGGCUCAACCCUGGAACUGCCUUCGAUACUGGAUGUCUUGAGUGCGGGAGAGGUGUGUGGAACUCCGAGUGUAGAGGUGAAAUUCGUACAUAUUCGGAAGAACACCAGUGGCGAACGCGACACACUGGCCCGUUACUGACGCUGAGGCGCGAAAGCGUGGGGAGCACACAGGAUUAGAUACCCUGGUAGUCCACGCCGUAAACGAUGAUUGCUAGUUGUCGGAGUGCAUGCACUUCGGUGACACAUCUAACGCAUUACUCAAUCCGCCUGGGGAGGUACGGUCGCAAGAUUAAAACUCAU
rnacentral:rRNA from 1 species